rnacentral:lncRNA from 1 species
GACACAACCAAAAGGGCAAUUCUUAAUGUCUAAUGUCUGGAGGUACUCUUCACUGGUUUCAAUUGUCUUUCUACUCAUUUCAGUAAAGAUUGUUCCUCUGUUAUUAAAUGGAUGUAACAUUUGUAGCCUCACACGACCUUACCCCGUAUGGAUCUCACUGCGAAAGGGUAAAUCUUGCUAGCAAUACCAACAUAGCAAGGAAAAAGAAAUGAUCAAUGCAAAAAAUGCCAAUCGAUGCCAUCUUAGCAGCAUCUCCACUAUCGAUCAACUCCCCAAAUGGAGUCCAGGUAUAAUCGCACGACACAACCAAAAGGGCAAUUCUUAAUGUCUAAUGUCUGGAGAUACUCUUCACUGGUUUUAAUUGUCUUUCUACUCAUUUCAGUAAAGAUUGUUCCACAUGAACUAUCAGAGACCGCGACAUCUGACCGUAACAGGACCUCAUCAACAGAAAAAGGGGCAUUUUAAACAGAAAAAGGAGAAAAAAGAAAAGGAAAGUACAUCACUCCCAGCCUGACGGACUGCAUGAUAGUCGGAUGGGACGAAAGAAAUUGACUGUCAAGGAAUGUACCCGUCUGCACCUGCCUGCACCCGGCACAACCAUCGCCUUCACCACUGCUGCAUCGCCUCCGAAAUCCUUGGUGAAGAUUCUGAAGCAAAUAGGAGAACUAAUGAGUAAGCCAAAUGAAA